AAGUCGUAACAAGGUUUCCGUAGGUGAACCUGCGGAAGGAUCAUUACAGAGAAUAUCGCCCUCACGGGUGACUCUCCAACCCUUUGUUAUUAUACCUUUGUUGCUUUGGCGAGCCGCCUCGGCCACCGGCUCACGCUGGUGAGUGCUCGCCAGAGGACCCCAAACUCUGAAUAUUAGUGUCGUCCGAGUAUUAUAUAAUAGUUAAAACUUUCAACAACGGAUCUCUUGGUUCUG
rnacentral:misc_RNA from 1 species